rnacentral:lncRNA from 1 species
CUGGGCCUUUUAUAGCUUACUAUGCGGUAUGGGUUUUGCUCAUUAUUUAAGGCAUACGGCGACCUAUAGUUGUUAAUUUUUGUGUAUUGUUGAGAGUUGUCUCAUUGGCAAUCAUACCUUGCACAUCUACUGAUUUAAUAGAGACAUACACUACGAAUGAAAAUCACAUUACUAUGUAGCUUAACGUCGUCAACUUUUCAUUACCGUGCAGG